rnacentral:rRNA from 1 species
GAAUCUGCCUGGUAGUGGGGGAUAACGUUCGGAAACGGACGCUAAUACCGCAUACGUCCUACGGGAGAAAGCAGGGGACCUUCGGGCCUUGCGCUAUCAGAUGAGCCUAGGUCGGAUUAGCUAGUUGGUGGGGUAAUGGCUCACCAAGGCGACGAUCCGUAACUGGUCUGAGAGGAUGAUCAGUCACACUGGAACUGAGACACGGUCCAGACUCCUACGGGAGGCAGCAGUGGGGAAUAUUGGACAAUGGGCGAAAGCCUGAUCCAGCCAUGCCGCGUGUGUGAAGAAGGUCUUCGGAUUGUAAAGCACUUUAAGUUGGGAGGAAGGGUUGUAGAUUAAUACUCUGCAAUUUUGACGUUACCGACAGAAUAAGCACCGGCUAACUCUGUGCCAGCAGCCGCGGUAAUACAGAGGGUGCAAGCGUUAAUCGGAAUUACUGGGCGUAAAGCGCGCGUAGGUGGUUUGUUAAGUUGGAUGUGAAAUCCCCGGGCUCAACCUGGGAACUGCAUUCAAAACUGACUGACUAGAGUAUGGUAGA